AGGAGUGUAGCUCAGUUGGUAGAGCAGCGGUCUCCAAAACCGCUGGUCGCGGGUUCGAAUCCUGCCACUCCUG
rnacentral:tRNA from 1 species